AUGUAAAUGGCAAAACUACUGAAAAGUAGUGACGCAAAGCUAAAGGGUCUAAAUCGUUUGAUAUGAUCGCCAGUUGCCAA
rnacentral:ncRNA from 1 species